CGGACCAUUUAAAAUUAAUUACGAUUUUCGAUUCAUUCAAUUAUAUUUCAUUAAAAAUACCCCUCUAGAAAAUUCUUUGGAGACGCCUAUUUAAUCGCCUAGGUGCCUAUUUUCGCAGCGAAGCAAGAGGAAAGCACCGCGCAUGUUUCUAUCGGAUCGAUACGAAUCGAUUUCCGAUAACAUUGAACAGCAGUUGGUCAGGAAACGGCUCGAAGGGCGGAUGGCGCGCCGCUAGUAAGGUUAUUCCCACUUUUAAGUGACGGGAUUGAAACAAAUUUUCGAUGGAAAUCAAAUGAUUAGAAGGAAAUCAAGCGUCAGCUAAUCCCAUCUACAAAACUAGAUAACCAAAGUUAAACAUCUCUUUGGACUUCUUCACAUAACAGAAGUGGAUAUUCCGGCGUGCCUGCCUUGUUUCAAUCCCGUAACUUAGUUAUUUAGUCACACAACGUGACUCUAUCACGUUGAUUAUGUACUACCUAGUUAGAUUGCUAGCCACUCUGUGAUGGUUUAUCCCUAGAGUGGGCUGUUUUUGUUGGAUAAUACACCAUACCGGAUUUUAUUACAACCAGCAUCUUCACCCAGGACCUUGCAGUAGGACUUACUCAUCACAGCAGCCAACCAUUUUAUCGUGCCAAAAGGGAAUUUCCUACGGAAUUCAUCUCUAUGGACUUGCAACCCUACUUUUAACCGGCUGUUGUGUAAAAGCUAAGUUUAUUUACUUUUUCUGUAUUUACUUUUGGGUAAGAUAUAUUUGCUACAUUGUAAACUUUUCGUAUGCAUACGAUUAGGAAGAGUACAUAUAUUUUCGUGAUAGAUAG